rnacentral:rRNA from 1 species
UACGGAGGGGGCUAGCGUUGUUCGGAAUUACUGGGCGUAAAGCGCGCGUAGGCGGACCUGCAAGUCGGGGGUGAAAGCCCGAGGCUCAACCUCGGAACUGCCUUCGAUACUGCGGGUCUCGAGUCCGGGAGAGGUGAGUGGAAUUCCUAGUGUAGAGGUGAAAUUCGUAGAUAUUAGGAAGAACACCAGUGGCGAAGGCGGCUCAGCUGGCCCGGUACUGACGCUGAGGCGCGAAAGCGUGGGUAGCAAACAGG